GAUGAACGCUGGCGGCGUGCCUAAUACAUGCAAGUCGAGCGAACGGACGAGAAGCUUGCUUCUCUGAUGUUAGCGGCGGACGGGUGAGUAACACGUGGAUAACCUACCUAUAAGACUGGGAUAACUUCGGGAAACCGGAGCUAAUACCGGAUAAUAUUUUGAACCGCAUGGUUCAAAAGUGAAAGACGGUCUUGCUGUCACUUAUAGAUGGAUCCACGCUGCAUUAGCUAGUUGGUAAGGUAACGGCUUACCAAGGCAACGAUGCAUAGCCGACCUGAGAGGGCGAUCGGCCACACCGGAACUGAGACACGGUCCAGACUCCUACGGGAGGCAGCAGUAGGGAAUCUUCCGCAAUGGGCGAAAGCCUGACGGAGCAACGCCGCGUGAGUGAUGAAGGUCUUCGGAUCGUAAAACUCUGUUAUUAGGGAAGAACAUAUGUGUAAGUAACUGUGCACAUCUUGACGGUACCUAAUCAGAAAGCCACGGCUAACUACGUG
rnacentral:rRNA from 1 species